UACGGUAGGGGGCAAGCGUUGUCCGGAUUCAUUGGGCGUAAAGAGCUCGUAGGCGGUUCGGCAAGUCGGGUGUGAAAACUCCAGGCUCAACCUGGAGACGCCACCCGAUACUGCUGUGACUUGAGUCCGGGUAGGGGACCACGGAAUUCCUGGUGUAGCGGUGAAAUGCGCAGAUAUCAGGAGGAACACCGGUGGCGAAGGCGGUGGUCUGGGCCGGCACUGACGCUGAGGAGCGAAAGGCGUGGGGAGCGAACAGG
rnacentral:rRNA from 1 species